rnacentral:rRNA from 1 species
UUGAACGCUGGCGGCAUGCCUUACACAUGCAAGUCGAACGGCAGCACGGGAGCAAUCCUGGUGGCGAGUGGCGAACGGGUGAGUAAUAUAUCGGAACGUGCCCAGUCGUGGGGGAUAACGCAGCGAAAGCUGUGCUAAUACCGCAUACGAUCUCUGGAUGAAAGCGGGGGAUCGCAAGACCUCGCGCGAUUGGAGCGGCCGAUAUCAGAUUAGCUAGUUGGUGGGGUAAAGGCCCACCAAGGCGACGAUCUGUAGCUGGUCUGAGAGGACGACCAGCCACACUGGAACUGAGACACGGUCCAGACUCCUACGGGAGGCAGCAGUGGGGAAUUUUGGACAAUGGGCGCAAGCCUGAUCCAGCAAUGCCGCGUGCAGGAUGAAGGCCUUCGGGUUGUAAAGCUCUUUCGGCCGGGACGAAAUCGCACGGGUCAAUACCCUGUGUGGAUGACGGUACUGGAAGAAGAAGCACCGGCUAACUACGU